rnacentral:rRNA from 1 species
AACGAACGCUGGCGGCAUGCCUAACACAUGCAAGUCGAACGAGACCUUCGGGUCUAGUGGCGCACGGGUGCGUAACGCGUGGGAACCUGCCCUUAGGUUCGGAAUAACUCCCCGAAAGGGGUGCUAAUACCGGAUAAUGUCUUCGGACCAAAGAUUUAUCGCCUUUGGAUGGGCCCGCGUUGGAUUAGCUAGUUGGUAGGGUAAAAGCCUACCAAGGCGACGAUCCAUAGCUGGUCUGAGAGGAUGAUCAGCCACACUGGGACUGAGACACGGCCCAGACUCCUACGGGAGGCAGCAGUGGGGAAUAUUGGACAAGGGGCGAAAGCCUGAUACAGCAAUGCCGCGUGAGUGAUGAAGGCCUUAGGGUUGUAAAGCUCUUUUACCCGGGAUGAUAAUGACAGUACCGGGAGAAGAAGCGCCGGCUAACUCCGUG